GCCCUCAUGAUGGAAUUGGUAGACAUAACGGACUUAAAAUCCGUGGCCUCUUUUGGCAUGCAGGUUCAAGUCCUGCUGAGGGCACCA
rnacentral:tRNA from 1 species